UCCUAGCCCAGACAGCAGUGGAAAGCCCAGACUGAAAAAAACUAUUUUUUCUAGGAAUAAAAGAGCGACCGGCAGGAAGCUCCUUUUAUUACUUUGGAAAAAAAGUUUUUUGAAGGAGGACUUGUAACGAAUGGCUGGAAUCAGC
rnacentral:sRNA from 1 species